CAGCAGCCGCGGUAAUACGAAGGGUGCAAGCGUUAAUCGGAAUUACUGGGCGUAAAGCGUGCGUAGGCGGUUUGUUAAGUCUGCUGUGAAAUCCCCGGGCUCAACCUGGGAAUGGCAGUGGAUACUGGCAAGCUAGAGUGUGUCAGAGGAUGGUGGAAUUCCCGGUGUAGCGGUGAAAUGCGUAGAGAUCGGGAGGAACAUCAGUGGCGAAGGCGGCCAUCUGGGACAACACUGACGCUGAGGCACGAAAGCGUGGGGAGCAAACAGGAUUAGAUACCCCAGUAGUCCCUGUCUCUUAUAA
rnacentral:rRNA from 1 species